GGACAAUGUGCAAGGGGCGUGAGUGAUUACUGGAUCCAGGCUAAAAGGAGGUUGGUCGGUAAAAGGGAGCAUUCUGGAACUGACUCUUAUGCUCCAAUA